GAUGAACGCUGACAGCAUGCUUAACACAUGCAAGUCUACUUGAACUUCGGUUUGGGUGGCGGACGGGUGAGUAACGCGUAAAGAACUUGCCUCACAGUUAGGGACAACAUUUGGAAACGAAUGCUAAUACCUGAUAUUAUGAUUUUAGGGCAUCCUAAGAUUAUGAAAGCUAUAUGCACUGUGAGAGAGCUUUGCGUCCCAUUAGCUAGUUGGAGAGGUAACGGCUCACCAAGGCGAUGAUGGGUAGCCGGCCUGAGAGGGUGAACGGCCACAAGGGGACUGAGACACGGCCCGUACUCCUACGGGAGGCAGCAGCGGGGAAUAUUGGACACUGGACCAAAAGUCUGAUCCAGCAAUUCUGUGUGCACGAUGACGUUUUUCGGAAUGUAAAGUGCUUUCAGUUGGGAAGAAAAAAAUGACGGUACCAACAGAAGAAGUGACGGCUAAAUACGUG
rnacentral:rRNA from 1 species